AGAGAAACGAACUCUCUCCAAAUUAAGCGCCAGUGGCUCUGAAUGGUGGCUCCAGGAGAUGUGCUUUCGGCGAGAACGCAAGGUGAUGGCAAAAUCGCUCCUUUCCGCGCUGCGGAGAAAAGCCCCCUGUUCGGAGGAAAGCAGCCGGCUGAAGUCGCUCUCUGCCGGCUACCGAAUUGCCCGAAUGCGCGGCUGUCGGCAGCAAGCGGCAUUCGGGGACGCGACCGAACGCUUUGCCUAGCUGUUCUCCGCGACUGAGGAUUUCUGCCGAUAAGAGCGGACUCGGGCAGUUCCGUAGUUUCCUUUUGCAAGAGAAAAUUUUUCGUCUUUAGGAAAAAAGUAAUACUGUCGGGGAAAACAAUGUUGUCUUCCCGAGAAGACCGUAUUUUGGGAGAUCACAACUGCUAGCGCUACUCAACGUGCCAGUCACCUCUUUGACGGAGAGUCUUCGUUCCUUCUCUCCUCCGUAACAGAAAGUCAGAGUGCAGCAAUGGAGAAAGAGAGAGAAACGAACUCUCUCCAAAUUAAGCGCCAGUGGCUCUGAAUGGUGGCUCCAGGAGAUGUGCUUUCGGCGAGAACGCAAGGUGAUGGCAAAAUCGCUCCUUUCCGCGCUGCGGAGAAAAGCCCCCUGUUCGGAGGAAAGCAGCCGGCUGAAGUCGCUCUCUGCCGGCUACCGAAUUGCCCGAAUGCGCGGCUGUCGGCAGCAAGCGGCAUUCGGGGACGCGACCGAACGCUUUGCCUAGCUGUUCUCCGCGACUGAGGAUUUCUGCCGAUAAGAGCGGACUCGGGCAGUUCCGUAGUUUCCUUUUGCAAGAGAAAAUUUUUCGUCUUUAGGAAAAAAGUAAUACUGUCGGGGAAAACAAUGUUGUCUUCCCGAGAAGACCGUAUUUUGGGAGAUCACAACUGCUAGCGCUACUCAACGUGCCAGUCACCUCUUUGACGGAGAGUCUUCGUUCCUUCUCUCCUCCGUAACAGAAAGUCAGAGUGCAGCAAUGGAGAAAGAGAGAGAAACGAACUCUCUCCAAAUUAAGCGCCAGUGGCUCUGAAUGGUGGCUCCAGGAGAUGUGCUUUCGGCGAGAACGCAAGGUGAUGGCAAAAUCGCUCCUUUCCGCGCUGCGGAGAAAAGCCCCCUGUUCGGAGGAAAGCAGCCGGCUGAAGUCGCUCUCUGCCGGCUACCGAAUUGCCCGAAUGCGCGGCUGUCGGCAGCAAGCGGCAUUCGGGGACGCGACCGAACGCUUUGCCUAGCUGUUCUCCGCGACUGAGGAUUUCUGCCGAUAAGAGCGGACUCGGGCAGUUCCGUAGUUUCCUUUUGCAAGAGAAAAUUUUUCGUCUUUAGGAAAAAAGUAAUACUGUCGGGGAAAACAAUGUUGUCUUCCCGAGAAGACCGUAUUUUGGGAGAUCACAACUGCUAGCGCUACUCAACGUGCCAGUCACCUCUUUGACGGAGAGUCUUCGUUCCUUCUCUCCUCCGUAACAGAAAGUCAGAGUGCAGCAAUGGAGAAAGAGAGAGAAACGAACUCUCUCCAAAUUAAGCGCCAGUGGCUCUGAAUGGUGGCUCCAGGAGAUGUGCUUUCGGCGAGAACGCAAGGUGAUGGCAAAAUCGCUCCUUUCCGCGCUGCGGAGAAAAGCCCCCUGUUCGGAGGAAAGCAGCCGGCUGAAGUCGCUCUCUGCCGGCUACCGAAUUGCCCGAAUGCGCGGCUGUCGGCAGCAAGCGGCAUUCGGGGACGCGACCGAACGCUUUGCCUAGCUGUUCUCCGCGACUGAGGAUUUCUGCCGAUAAGAGCGGACUCGGGCAGUUCCGUAGUUUCCUUUUGCAAGAGAAAAUUUUUCGUCUUUAGGAAAAAAGUAAUACUGUCGGGGAAAACAAUGUUGUCUUCCCGAGAAGACCGUAUUUUGGGAGAUCACAACUGCUAGCGCUACUCAACGUGCCAGUCACCUCUUUGACGGAGAGUCUUCGUUCCUUCUCUCCUCCGUAACAGAAAGUCAGAGUGCAGCAAUGGAGAAAGAGAGAGAAACGAACUCUCUCCAAAUUAAGCGCCAGUGGCUCUGAAUGGUGGCUCCAGGAGAUGUGCUUUCGGCGAGAACGCAAGGUGAUGGCAAAAUCGCUCCUUUCCGCGCUGCGGAGAAAAGCCCCCUGUUCGGAGGAAAGCAGCCGGCUGAAGUCGCUCUCUGCCGGCUACCGAACUGCCCGAAUGCGCGGCUGUCGGCAGCAAGCGGCAUUCGGGGACGCGACCGAACGCUUUGCCUAGCUGUUCUCCGCGACUGAGGAUUUCUGCCGAUAAGAGCGGACUCGGGCAGUUCCGUAGUUUCCUUUUGCAAGAGAAAAUUUUUCGUCUUUAGGAAAAAAGUAAUACUGUCGGGGAAAACAAUGUUGUCUUCCCGAGAAGACCGUAUUUUGGGAGAUCACAACUGCUAGCGCUACUCAACGUGCCAGUCACCUCUUUGACGGAGAGUCUUCGUUCCUUCUCUCCUCCGUAACAGAAAGUCAGAG